rnacentral:SRP_RNA from 1 species
GCGCGCUUGGCUUGGGGAGCCAGGGGUCCCCUCGGCGCGAAAGCGCCUGCGCCAAAUCCCCUUCAGGGCGUGCGACAUUCCCGCUUAGGGCAAAGCGUGCUUUGGGCAUCGGCCGGGCAGCGGCGUAGAUGUCUUGCCCUGCGUUACGGGCUGAUGCGUCAACAGAGCCAGGCCGGAAGGAGCAACUCUACACGCGUUAUGCCCCGUGCUCGCGGGGGCCACAAGACGGAGCAACGGGCCUGGAAACGCGCCCGGAGCCACAUUGCACGAAGCGGGAGCGCGC